rnacentral:rRNA from 1 species
UACGUAGGGUGCGAGCGUUAAUCGGAGUUACUGGGCGUAAAGCGUGCGUAGGCGGUUCUGAAAGUCAGCUGUGAAAGCCCCGGGCUCAACCUGGGAACUGCAUUUGUGACUGCACGGCUGGAGUGCGGCAGAGGGGGAUGGAAUUCCGCGUGUAGCAGUGAAAUGCGUAGAUAUGCGGAGGAACACCGAUGGCGAAGGCAAUCCCCUGG